UGAGGAAUAUUGCGCAAUGGGCGCAAGCCUGACGCAGCGACGCCGCGUGGGGGAUGAAGGGCUUCGGCUUGUAAACCCCUUUCGGGCGGGAAGACGGUCUCAUACCCAUGAGGCGGACGGUACCGCCAGAAGCAGCCACGGCUAACUUCGUGCCAGCAGCCGCGGUAAUACGAAGGUGGCAAGCGUUGUUCGGAUUUACUGGGCGUAAAGGGAGCGUAGGUGGUCGGGUAAGCCCCGCGGGAAAGCUCCAGGCUUAACCUGGAAAGGUCGCGGGGGACUGCUCGGCUAGAGGACGGGAGAGGAGCGCGGAAUUCCCGGUGUAGCGGUGAAAUGCGUAGAGAUCGGGAGGAAGGCCGGUGGCGAAGGCGGCGCUCUGGAACGGCCCUGACACUGAGGCUCGAAAGCGUGGGGAGCAAACAGG
rnacentral:rRNA from 1 species